rnacentral:lncRNA from 1 species
UGUCCGUAUUUUACAGGAAUGCAGCAUACAUUUUCCCUUCUGCCUGCACUGUUGUUGCUCUGGUGCCAUGGCUGCAGGGCUGGAGUUUCAGUGGAGCCUGGGUGGCCUGCAAGGCCAGAAAUAGCUACUUAUUACUUGGCCUUAGCAGGAGAAGUUUGCCAGAGUCUGUCCCAUUCCCAACAUAGGAAAACACCUAAUGGAUAAUGGCGGUGAGGAUACAGAGGAUACACACAGCAGCUGUCACUGAAGCCAGGUCCAGAGAGAGCCUGUGAGUAGAAGGCAGCAAUUCCUAAAUGUUUUUGGACCUAAAUGCAUUAGAGAGAAAAUGCAUAUGCCAGUGGGAGGGUUUUGCCUUUUUUUUUCUUUUUUUCUGAUGUUCUUAGGCUAUGAUCUU